UGUCAUUUCACUCCUUACCCAUCACUGCUCCAAGUCCUUAUUGACCCAUCUCCAUUCUCUCCUUCCUUUCCUCCGCUGGCCAAGCAAUUCCCUUUAGCCUUCGCCGUUGUUUCACUCAUUAUCCAUCAACGCUCUAAGUCCUUAUUGACCUAUCUCCUUUAGCCUUUGCUGUCGUUUCACUCCUUACCCAUCACCGCUCCAAGUCGUUGUUAACCCAUCUCCACUCUCUCCUUUCAACCUUGCCCAGCUUUGUUUGAUUAUUAAUAAACAGCGAAAACACAUAUUCAA
rnacentral:misc_RNA from 1 species